UACGGAGGGGGUUAGCGUUGUUCGGAAUUACUGGGCGUAAAGCGCACGUAGGCGGGCUGUUAAGUCGGGGGUGAAAUCCCGGGGCUCAACCCCGGAACUGCCUUCGAUACUGGCAGCCUUGAGUUCGAGAGAGGUGAGUGGAAUUCCGAGUGUAGAGGUGAAAUUCGUAGAUAUUCGGAGGAACGCCAGUGGCGAAGGCGGCUCACCGGCUCGAUACUGACGCUGAGGUGCGAAAGCGUGGGGAGCAAACACG
rnacentral:rRNA from 1 species